GACGAACGCUGGCGGCGUGCUUAACACAUGCAAGUCGAACGGAAAGGCCCUGCUUUUGUGGGGUGCUCGAGUGGCGAACGGGUGAGUAACACGUGAGUAACCUGCCCUUGACUUUGGGAUAACUUCAGGAAACUGGGGCUAAUACCGGAUAGGAGCUCCUGCUGCAUGGUGGGGGUUGGAAAGUUUCGGCGGUUGGGGAUGGACUCGCGGCUUAUCAGCUUGUUGGUGGGGUAGUGGCUUACCAAGGCUUUGACGGGUAGCCGGCCUGAGAGGGUGACCGGCGACAUGGGGACUGAGAGACGGCGCAGACUGCUACGGGAGGCAGCAGUGGGGAAUAUUGCACAAUGGGCGGAAGCCUGAUGCAGAAGCGCCGCGUGCGGGAUGACGGCCUUCGGGUGGUAAACCGCUUUCGCCUGUGACGAAGCGUGAGUGACGGUAAUGGGUAAAGAAGCACCGGCUAACUACGUG
rnacentral:rRNA from 1 species